AAACUCCAAAAACUUACCAAUACUUUUUUUUUUCAAAAAAAAAUUAUCGCAAAACUAUAUUGUUUCAUGUCAUCUUGUUCCACCACCACCACUAUGGCGGAGGACGACGGCGGAAGGACGGCGAUCACUGCCGUCCAUUCCGACAUCAUACAAACCUUAAUUUUAACGAAACUCGACGGCCCAACUCUAAUCUCCGCCAGUUUCGCUUCUUCACAGCUGCAAAAUCUUUGCUCCGACGAAGAACUCUGGCGAAAAAUUUGUAAUUCUUAUUGGCCUUCUACUUCCGACCCACUUAUCAGAAACACCGUUGGAACGUUCCCCGCCGGUCACCGUUCACUUUUUUCCGAUUCCUUUCCGUCUAUAACCCACAACAAGCCAAAGCCCAUUACCGGAAACAACUCAAAUCAGUAUUUUCCGUCGCCGGAGUUGAUAUCGGCGGUGGAUGUUCACUUUGAGGGGAACUUAUUGUACUCGAAAGUGUUGACUAACGAAACGGAGAGUGGGUGGUUCAUGAGUUCGCCGUUCAGAAUUGAGUUAUUGGGUCAUAAAGAAUUUGUUCCGACGCCGGUAAAAUUCGACGGCGAGGAUGGAAAUUGUAAAUUGGAGCUACAGAGGAUGAAAUUGAGCUGGAUUUUAAUUGACCCAUCGAGGAAUAGAGCAGUGAAUGUUUCGAGUUUGAACCCGGUAUCGGUCCAACGACACUGGUUAACCGGAGAAUUGAAAGUUCGGUAUUCGACGGUGAUGGGUUCCGGCGCCGGCGAAGGGUUGGUUCAGUGCGGGAUAGUUGUCACGUGCGAAGGUAAAGAAGGAGGCGAAUUACACGUGCGAGAAGUAAGCAUGCAAAUAGAGGAUAUGGAUGGAAAAGUAUUGUGUGGGAAGGAUAGUUUGGUCAUUUUACAAGAAGUUAUUGAAGGAGGAAGAAAAAAAAGAAAAGAAAAUGAAGAAAAAGAAAAUUAUGAGAAUUUUUUAGAAUUAAAGAAAAAAUGGAAGGAAAAUAAACAAAAAAAAGAAAAAAAAAUGGAUAUGAUGUGUAUAGCAAGUGGAAUUACAAUUUUAAUUUCUUUUUGGACUUUAAUUGUAUUUGGUUCAAGAAGUAAUGGUAGUU
rnacentral:misc_RNA from 1 species